AUUGAACGCUGGCGGCACGCCUAACACAUGCAAGUCGAGCGGCAACGAGACUACUAGCAAUACUAGUUGUCGGACAGCUGCGGAAGGGUUAGUAACACGUAGGAUUCUGCCCUUAAGCGGGGGAGAACCAAGGGAAACUUUGGAUAAUAACGCCUUAUCUCGUGAGAGCAAAGCUGCACGUCAGGGUGGCACUUGAGGAGGAGCCUGCGUCCGAUUAGCUAGUUGGUGGGGUGAUGGCCUAGCAAGGCGAUGAUCGGUAACUGGUCUGAGAGGACGACCAGGCACACUGGGACUGAGACACGGCCCAGACUCCUACGGGAGGCAGCAGUGGGGAAUAGUGGACAAUGGGGGCAACCCUGAUCCAGCGAUGCCGCGUGAGUGAAGAAGGCCUUCGGGUCGUAAAGCUCUUUAGGUUGGGAAGAAGGGUAUUGGGUGAAUAAUCCAGUACUUGGACGGUACCGACAGAAUAAGCACCGGCAAACUCUGUGCCAGCAGCCGCCGUAAAAC
rnacentral:rRNA from 1 species